rfam:Nicotiana sylvestris Nsyl_contig13559, whole genome shotgun sequence.
UGGACAGAUUAUUGUAUUCGACUGUAUUCACGGCAUGAAAUAGGGGAUUACACUGUUUUUAAAACGGAAAGUGAAUCAAUUAACAUAAUAGACUCCU